rnacentral:tRNA from 1 species
GGCCGUGUGGCUCAAUGGCAGAGCGUCUGACUACGAAUUAGAAGGUUGUAGUUUCGACCCCUGUCUUGGUCA